GCAUUAAUGGGUUAGUGGCAACUUGGGUUGGUGUCAUCGACCCGCCCGGGGUUCGAUUCCCGAUUAGUGCA